UCUUCACCUGUCGAAGACCUGGGACAGACUGCCUGCUCUCUCCCUGAGCAGCCUUUUUAUAGGGCUGAGCCUGGCCCUGAUUGACUCCCUCCAAUCUGGGCCCUGAUUGGCUCCCAAUAAGCCCUUUUCUAAUUGGCUGUUUGUCUGUGGAGGCCCACUGACCUGCUGUAGCCCCCUCUAAUAUGGGAGUGGGGCAGACACCCCACCACACACACAUACACACGUUAGGCAUCCUAUAUAUAUAGUGGGUGCCUAACGUGUGUGUGUGUGUAAUUUCCAUGGAGAUUACAUAUAUAUCCAUAGGACAUACAUGUAUUUAGGAUGCUUUGAACACCAUAUAUGUUUACUUAUAUAUCAAAUAAAAGCUCACUUAUCCAAAUGAUCCUGACUAUGCCAACAAGCAAUAGAUUUCAUUCCCAAAAAAUACUUUUUUCCCUUUUAUUCAUGCAAGUGUACUCAGAAUUUCUGAAGAAAGCCACAUUCUGCUGGUUGAUCUCGGUCACACUGCAGUUUUUCCUUCCUCUAACGAGCAGAACAGCUGUGGAAUCCUCCUUCUCCCAUCACCAUUCAGGUCCAGGACCUUGAACGAAGCAGCCCAAUGGAAAGCAAUUGGAAACCAAUGGAAACUGAAACACGUCAUAUUGUCCUUCUCAUCAAUCUAAGUUAAUGCAGAUAAUCAAGGCUAGUUUUCUCCCAGAUUAUGCCUGAAAUAUUUGCAUUUUAUAAACCCACAAAUAUUUGGAUUUUAAACAUUUGCCUUUGCAUUAUUUUGCCUGAAUUUUGGAACUGAUGUUAUUAGUUAAUAAAAACUAAAACCCACUGUUCCUAAAACUACUACAUGUGAGGCUAGAUUUUUAAAAUCACACAGGAAUAGAUUUCAGAGAUUCCUAGAUCCCAAAGCCAGAAGGGACCACUGUGAUCAUCUAGUCUGACCUGCUGCAUAGCACAGGCCAGAGAACUGCCCCAACAUAAUUCCCGCACUUGCAGUCAGGGUCAGAUUUGCCAACAGGCUCAGCUUCCAUUUAGGGCCAGUAGCUCCCAUUGUGAUGCUUUUGGCCAGGUUUUCAGAAGACCUCAGAUCCCCAACGAACUGAGCUGUUGUGAAAAUUCUGGCCAGAAGGCCCAAUUUUGAAAAAUGGCCUCUGCUUUUGCAGAUGCCAGUCCCUGCUCCUGCCCUUUUGUGCCAGCAGACAAAUCCUUCCACGCAGGCAUCUACAUGAUGCCAUGCAGAGCCUAGCAGACUGGCAGCUCAGUAGCAGCAUCAGCACCUGCAGCUAGUUUGGGGCAGACACUUGUGAGCACAUAAGACUGCAUUGAGGUCCUUUUAGAUAUCAGGAGCCAAAUGCCAUGCCCCAUCCCAUGAGAAUACAUGAAUUGGUUCUCCCAAAGACUGAUGCUAUGGGCAUGUGGGGUUGGCUAAUCUUUUUAUGCAUAGACUCAUGGAAUCAUAGGACUGGAAGGGACCUUGAGAGAUCAUCUAUUCCAGUCCCAGUUAUUCCAUGCUCUUCCCCAAAGUAUCUGAGCCCUUCAGUCUCCCUGGGGGCUACACGGAGGAUUUUUCCCCCCAGCUUGAGUGGGGCGCUGCACUUUCUCCCCAACACUUCCUGCCUGGUCCCCACCUCCAUCUCUCUUCCUGUGCUUAAGCGUACAUCGCUUGGACUCAGAAAUGAACCCCACCAGCAUCUAUGAGGGCUCAUGGCUGGGCUGCUCUACAUAUUGGCUGGUGCAGCCCCCCAGGUGGCCAAAACCUCCUGGAUGCAAAAUGACCCUUUGUGCCAUCAUCUGGAGAAUGCCAGCAUGAGCCGUACAGUAUCUGAGGCCAUUCAAUAGGUCUUUGGUGAGAGACAGUGAUAGGUCGAUCCAGCCAAGAGCUAUUUUUAGGAACUCCAGAAAAGGGAUGGAUAUAUAUAUAUAUAUAUGCGCACACACACACACUAAUCACAGCUUCUCCAAGGGAAGCUUGCUCUCGCUCCAUUUUUCAAGCAGUGUUUAUCAAUUUCCUCUGUAUUGUUUCCUUCCUUUUCAUUUAACCUGACAAGUCACUAUCAGAGUCUCAGAGAAAAUUAUCAGCGACAGAGCCAAGGCAGAGGGAAAGUUCCAUGGAUGGAUGCAGGGAGGUUUCUCCCCUGCCUUCAUUCCGUAGCACCUGUGAACCAGCUGAGCGGCAAACAGUGGAGAGGCUAACAGAGGGAGUUUGACUGGGAGUUUGCCUGGGGAGAGCCCACUGAGGCUUUCAUCUUGCAGGCAUCUCUGAGUAGUUACUACAACAGCUGAGGAAGCCCUUAGAAAGAAGGUAAUAUGGAUGGUGAGCGAUCAGCUGUUGUGACCUGCACAGGAUGUGCUAUGUUUGUCUUUCGUCCACAGGACAGAAGCGACUUUGUCUGUACAAAGUGUCUCCAUAUUGGAAGAGAAGGUUCAAGGUCUCGAGAAACAAGUAUCAGCCCUGCGUUGCAUAAGAGAAAAAUGAAGAUUUCCUGGAUAGAUGUCAGGAUAUGCUUCUACGGGCACAACAUUCUGAAGAAUCAGAGCAGGCUGCACAGUGGGGACAGAAGGAAGGUGAAGAAAUUUGACAGCAUGUGACCUCCAGAAGAAGAAAGAGGAGCGUCCACGUACCAGCAACGCAGAUACAGGGGAGGAAUCCUCCCAGCCUUCUGAAGGCCUCCCUUCCUCUUCCAUCUCCAAGGCAUCACCUAAUCUCAACAACCCAUGCAGCUGGUGCAACAUCCCUACUUCCUCCAGCCAGUGAAGGUUUGCUGCAGAGACACUACCCAUUGGGAUUCCCAUGGGACAGUCCUGAAUCGGAGGGGGGAAUCCUGCACCAUGCCAGAUAGAACCAAAUACUCUGCUGGUGUAACUGGGCAGAAUGCCGGGGAGAAUAAGGACAUUUUUCCUCCUCGCCAUAACUGCAAAGUUCACCUGCAGCACUCAUCAGAAAAUGAAAAGGACAAAAAGAGCCCCUAAUUCACCAAUCAAUUUCACACCAAUGUCCAUCUCUUGUGCCUCCUCUUGUUGGUUUCAUGCCAGCCAUCUUCGUCAGUUUCAGAGUGAAAUAACCCCAGCAGGUGCACCCUGACAAGGUUAGAUGAGCAGAACUAGGCACAUUCUCACAAUGCAUGUUUGAUAUGUAGCCAUGGAAACAUCUGGGUGACUAAGUAGCCAGUAAAGAUUCUGGAAAAUGUAACCUGAUUUUUGUUUUAGAACUUGCACUCUGAGCUUGGGAGCAGCAUUAUUAUGUUUGGGUACCCAAGAUGCUAGUGAGAUGUAUAAAUGGUGUAAAUACACUGUCAUGCAAAGUUG